CAGUCAGGUAGGAUAAUCCUUAUCUGUUCAGAGGGCAGAUGAGCAUGAUGAUUGGCGUUUGCAUGAUUCGUGAUUAAUGUCUUUGCGGUCUUUGCGUGAUUAGGGCUUGCAACACUCUAAUUGGUCCAGCCUCUU